GCUCUUUUAGCUCUGCUGACCGCGGAUGGCUUAAGUGUUAACAGCUCAGUGGGCCCUUUGCCUUUUCUCAUGAGUCGGCUGCCCUGUGCCAGCAAGGGCAAAGGGCCAGUGUAACAGCCUUUUGUAUCUGCACUCGUGGCUCCUGAGCUCCUGUUCGGCACACAGGAAAAAUGAGGUCGCACCAACAAACUGAAGGAUGGUAAAUGUUGAGGAUUUUAUUGCCAAUGAAAGCGGCUGUCACUGGGAGCUGAAAAGGUAAUGGAAAGCUGAAAAGCGGAUAAGGUGGGUAGGUACCUGAAGUCUGGCCAUCUACGGCAGCUGGAUUCUUCUCCAAAGUUAUACUGUCAAGCUGUCCCUCUGAAGCCAAGCCACUUCUCUUUGACAUCCAGCCGUAGUCUCUGCUCCUCUCCAACUGAGUAUGAGGGAGAUGUUUCCUAUUAUCCUUGAUAAUGUGCCAUGAACAUAUGAAAAAACAUAGAAACAUGAAGAAAACAAGAAGACAAAAAUCACUAACAUCUGGUUGGCUGUAUAGAAACAAAGCUGAUUCUGGUCUCGCUCUAUACCCCAGGUUGGAGUGCAGUGGUAAGAUCACAGCUCACUGCUGCCUUGACUUCCUGGGCUCAAGUGAUUCUCCUGCCUCAGUCUCCUCAGUAGCUCGGACUACAGCUUGCAAAUGGAUCUUACAGACGUUGUCACAGAGACAAGAAAAGCAUAUAAAAAAAUAAAUAAAGAUGAGCUCCUUUCAAGGUGACUGACUAGAAGCAGCUGGUGUGUGCUGCUCUCACAAAGAGAAGAAAGAGUGGUGAGUGGACCAUCCAGGUGGACACAUUGGGAUUCAUCAAGGAAACAAUACACAGAAAACAGAAGAAUGAGACAGGACAAUCAUUCACCCAGAAGUGGCAUAGAGCCGGGAGAUGGCCCUCACCAUGGUUAGUAAGUGAGAGUCCCCAGGGAGUCACAUUUCUGCCACAGACCUUUGCAACCCUGGGCCCAGGCGAUCCCCCAUGACACCCGUGCCCCACCAGGGCCUCUGGACUGACAUAGACAGCUACAUGGAGUGUGGGCAGAACUGCCACUCAGGCACUCAUGAAAUCCUUGGAGCUUUUCAUCCCCAGGCACCCUGGUACCAAUGGCUGCAGCUGCGGCAAUGGGGGAGGACAGGCUCUCUUGCAUGUCCUCAGAAUAGGAACACAAUCCAUGGGGCUAAGCAGUGGGUGGACUGUGGGGCUCUUCUACACAGCCCGUUGCCAGACUGGCCUGGGAUCCUAGCAUGGUCACAAAAGUCCCACCUGGGCUCUUGAGGAACAGAUCUGUACUUCCCUGGCAUGGAACUCCUGGAGGGGAUGGGCAGGCUGCUGUUUUUGCUGCUCCACAGCCCUCACUCCUGUUGCCCUCAGUCUUGGGAGUGAGCACAGUGAUUGGGGACUAACAUAGACCCCCAGCACAGUGUACAGACUUGCAGAAAAGCAGCCAGACUCUUUUCCACAUGGGUCCUCACCCCUGCUACUCUUCACUGGGCAGCACCUCUUGACCUUGGCCCCCAGCACAACCAACCCGCCCCCACAUGAACGCUUUGUCAGUGAUGGCUCUGUGUUUCUCUGAGGAGAAAAAUCCAAAAGACAA
ensembl:lncRNA LINC02334 long intergenic non-protein coding RNA 2334